rnacentral:rRNA from 1 species
CCUACGGGAGGCUUCAGUGGGGAAUAUUGGACAAUGGGGGCAACCCUGAUCCAGCCAUGCCGCGUGUGUGAAGAAGGCCCUCGGGUUGUAAAGCACUUUCAGUGAGGAAGAACGCCUGGUGGUUAAUACCCAUCAGGAAAGACAUCACUCACAGAAGAAGCACCGGCUAACUCCGUGCCAGCAGCCGCGGUAAUACGGAGGGUGCGAGCGUUAAUCGGAAUUACUGGGCGUAAAGCGCGCGUAGGUGGCUUGAUAAGCCGGUUGUGAAAGCCCCGGGCUCAACCUGGGAACGGCAUCCGGAACUGUCAAGCUAGAGUGCAGGAGAGGAAGGUAGAAUUCCCGGUGUAGCGGUGAAAUGCGUAGAGAUCGGGAGGAAUACCAGUGGCGAAGGCGGCCUUCUGGACUGACACUGACACUGAGGUGCGAAAGCGUGGGUAGCAAACAGGAUUAGAUACCCGAGUAGUC